AUUGAACGCUGGCGGCAGGCUUAACACAUGCAAGUCGAGCGGGGUGAUGGUGCUUGCACUAUCACUUAGCGGCGGACGGGUGAGUAAUGCUUAGGAAUCUGCCUAUUAGUGGGGGACAACAUCGCGAAAGGGAUGCUAAUACCGCAUACGUCCUACGGGAGAAAGCAGGGGAUCACUUGUGACCUUGCGCUAAUAGAUGAGCCUAAGUCGGAUUAGAUAGUUGGUGGGGUAAAGGCUUACCAAGGCGACGAUCUAUAGCUGUUCUGAGAGGAAGAUCAGCCACACUGGGACUGAGACACGGCCCAGACUCCUACGGGAGGCAGCAGUGGGGAAUAUUGGACAAUGGGGGCAACCCUGAUCCAGCACUACCGCGUGUGUGAAGAAGGCCUGAGGGUUGUAAAGCACCUUCGGCGAGGAGGAAGGGUAUAUGGUUAAUACCCAUAUAUUUUGACGUUACUCGAAGAAGAAGCACCGGCUAACUCUGUGCCAGCAGCCGCGGUAA
rnacentral:rRNA from 1 species